CAAUGGUUGGAGUUAGCAUGAUCCUGAGGGUUGGGCCUUUGGUGUGUUCCUUUUGGGUCACAGUCACCUUCGAUGUAUUUUUGAGCAAGUGGCACCAGAAGCCAUAUGCAUCCAGGAGAAACCAUGCUUGGGUGUGAAUUGUGGGCGAAUGAGGUGAGGUGAGGCCUAGGCCUCUGCCAUGGUGUGGAACAGUGGCCAUGAGUCCCUCACAACGGCGAACAGGCGACAUUCUCUGGGCUGUGCUACAAAGCUGUGCGGCUCAGUAGCACCCCAGCUUCCCCGUCUCCAGGCUGUGCCUACCCUGAGUGGCCUCAGCAGAAACACCUCUGCCUGCCUUCCAGCAGCCACCCUGGUCUUAGCCUCUGGAGGGAAGGCAGAGGAUGAAGGGUGCCUGUUGUUCUUCUCGUCACACCUCUUGGCUUCCUGACAGUGGCAGGGAGGAGAAGAUGUGUGGUCUCACAGAGGAAAAGCAGUCUACUCCCG
rnacentral:lncRNA from 1 species